AGGAGCAGACGUUUAUUUAUUAUCUAUCAUUAGCUUAUAAAUAAUUUUAUGUUUAGCCCAUAUAAUAAGAAUUUGAGGCGAAUUUAAAUGUGGGCUAAGAGCUUCAAGGGACUACUUUUAAUUCUGUGCUUGACAAUUCUUAUUCUUUCUGUGGGAUGAUCUUUGUUCGAGGCCAUCAGUGUGGGACAGGGGCAUGACUGCCAAGCAAGACAACCUCUUACAGCUUACAGUGUUGGUUCAGAAGUAACUAUAGAUCCUUAAAGCACUUAGGGUAUUUAAUGCAAAUGAAUAUUUGCUCAGAUUUCCAACACAAAGAUUAAAACAGAUACAAAUAAAUAAGCUUUCUAAGUGUCAGUGGAUACUAGCUUGAAAACAGCUAUAAGCAAUCUUAGAUGGAAGGUAACAUCUUGUUAGUUGAGAGUAAUUAUGUAACAGUAUCAGAACUUAGUUGAAGAAAAGGUCAUGUACUCCUAAACUGUGUACUCCGCCUGAAUGAUUGUUGGAUUUCCCCUGUUGUGGGCAUGAGCAUUGUUGGAUAUGGCACAGGAAACUCUGGGCCCACAGAAGACACACCAUCAGAAGAAAACUUACUUGAGAGAGCUAACAGAAAGAUAAACUUCUGAACAUGGUAUGGGGAAUGGGUGCUUUCUCCUUCAGAUUAAGAAAUUUACAUCUUUCUAUCAAUAGGCCUGUUCCUGAGCUUUGAAAGAAUUCUCCCAGCCCAGGAGAUGGGAUUGUGUGAGCAGGAAAUAGGAAAUGAGUGCCAAGAGGCUCUCUGAAAGACACAAGACUCCCUGAGGUCAGGAUAUAAGGGGACUGGAAGGACAGCCUUGGUUGUUGAGUCCAGUCUGUGGUUCUGUUUGGGAGGUGGUAUGACAGCCACUGGGAAGGAGUGAGAAAACACAGUGAUCAUCCUUUGAUGCUCUUUCGAAGAUGUGCAAGGAUUCAAAACUGACUGUGGAUGUCAGCCACAUAUGGUCCCUGUGACACAGCCACAGAUCUGAGUGCAAGGAGAGUAGGGUGUAAAGAUUAGGUGUAUACGAAGAAUGGGCUGUAGGAAGAGAGACUGAGCUCAGCUCUUCCUAGACAAGGAAACUGUAGAUUGUGGGAGAAGACACAAGAGGAAAGUGAUGAAUCCUGUAGAUUGUUAAAUCACGUGUGGUAACUAAUUCAGAGACAAAAAGAAGAAACAGAUUAAUGGGGAAGCUUUCUUCCUUAAGAGAUUUAAAUGUGUUGUUCUCCGGAAAAUAGUGUGAUAUGUAGUCUUCAUUAAUAGAAGUUUCUAGUAAAACUCCACAAUGGAAUUUCCACUGUUUGCUCACUCCCCUGCUAUGGCAAAGCAACCUUUUAUAGUAUAGUCAAAAUUUUAUUGUAUUUUCAAGGAACCUAGAAAAGCGAGGUUUCAGUAAAGAUAGCUACAAAGAAUCGGGAAAACGAUUCCAAUAGUUGUUACUAGGUGCAAGGUAUUCGCCUAUCAGAAGCUACCUAGAACAUGUGCUGGGAAAUCAGUGAACUGCACCCUGGGAUACUGUUGCUUCAGCCAGUUGGAUCUAUGAGCAGUAGGUCCAAUCAGAAAUUUGGAAAAAAAAAAAAAAAAAAAAGAGGGUGAUGAUGAAAAAAGCAAUUUAAAAUAUGUAGGAAUUGCUCCCUGCUUUUCUCUUUUCUUCCCCUCCUCCCACUUUCUCCUUCCUUCCAGGUCUUGCUGUAUUGUCCAGGCCAGUCUCAGGAUCCUGGGCUCCAGAAAUGCUUCUGCCUUUAUUUAUUGAGUAGCUGUCACUUUUCAAAGUACAAGCUACCCAGUCUUGGAAACUUUUAUGCCUGAGUUUUAGGUACCUACAUUAAGAAGAUGUAAUAGCAUCUAAUUACAGGCUUCUGAAGAUAGAGGAAAGAAUUUCAAAUUAUUGAAAACAUUUGCUCCUAUGUAAAAGUAGAAGGCAGGCUAGACUAGAAUGUAAACAAAAGGAUGUAAACUAAUGUUAGAAUUAUGCUUAUAGGAUUAUUUUUAAAUUUCACAGAAUUCAGGUAAUUCUAUUACUAGAAAGAUAUAAAAAAGAGGAAUUCACUAUUGGGCAAAAUAAAGAAAAAAUAUGUGUUCAAUUUUAAAAUUAUUAUUUUUAUUUGUGUGUGUGUGUACCUAUGUGAGUUUAUGUGCAUAUAGUAUGUACAGGUUCCUGUGGAGGCCAGAGGACUUUCUAUUUCCUGGAACUGGAGCUGAAGGCUCGGAACUGAACCCAGGUCCUUUACAAGAGCAAUGAUCUUUUCCCAACAAUCUAUACUCCUAAAGAAGCUACACAACAAGGAAGACCCUAGGGAAGAUGCUCAAUCCUCAUUCAAAAGGGCAAACACAAUAAGCAGGAGAAGACAGGGGAAUAGGACAGCAGCCUACCACAGACAGCCUGUGAAAGACUCCACUAAUUGAGGCCUUGUACAAACUUUUCCAAAAAAUUCUUUACGGCCUCCCAGGGAUAAAUACUGUUUGAUUCAUCGCACACAACCACAACGUCUACAAGUGAAGGGCAAGCUGCACAGGAAGAGAUGAAAGAGAACACAAUUUCCAAAGUGCCUUCAGCAGCAAGCACACAGCACCAGCUCUUUGCUAAUCUCCAUGAGAAGAAGCGAGAGAUACCUGCUGCUUCCUGCCCCACUGAGCACCUUGAUGGGCAGCUCCCUCGCCUGCUUUUACCUCUUCUGAGGAUUCUGGAUUGGUUAACCUUGAAAUUGCAGAGGGGUUAAGAUGUCACCACCACCAUUGAUACGGAGACUGUUGUGGCUCUCCUAAGGCACCACUGUUCCUUUUUACUGAGAAAACAAAAUGCCGAAGAAAAUCACAACAAAUUAAGCCGAACACUGAAACUGGCAUUCAGAAUGCUGUUGUUUCUGAUAAGUACUUCGUCUUCACCCCGCUAGGCAGAACUUAGCAAAUGCUGUUUGAAUGUUAGUCAGUUUUUAAAUAGAUCAGUUAAAGCUUGAGGACGUGAUGUCAAGCUCUUCUCAUUUUAAACAUGUCUACCGCUGGAAAGAAUGUAUGUAGCUGGACACGCAAUAAUGCAACUGUGUCCUACUAUUAAACUAAACUUUAACAAAUCAUGUACUAGGAAAAAGAAUCAGGAUGGAGUUCAUUUUGUUACUUAGUGUUAAAUUUUAUGAAAUAUUGUGUGUAUAAGCAGCUUUAUUUUACUUAAUGACAAGUGUAUGUUUUAAGAAAUGUGUUGUUCUGUGAUUUUGUUACUAUGCAAUCAAAAAUUCAAAUAAACAUGCAAGAUCACUAUUACA